rnacentral:rRNA from 1 species
CCUGGGUGGCAGCAGGAGAGAAGCAGUAACAAGGGGGGAAACCCUGAUGGGGCGACGCCGCGCGGGGGAAGGAAGGUCUUCGGAUUGUAAACCCCUGUCAUGUGGGAGCAAAUUAAAAAGAUAGUACCACAAGAGGAAGAGACGGCUAACUCUGUGCCAGCAGCCGCGGUAAUACAGAGGUCUCAAGCGUUGUUCGGAAUCACUGGGCGUAAAGCGUGCGUAGGCUGUUUCGUAAGUCGUGUGUGAAAGGCGCGGGCUUAACCCGCGGACGGCACAUGAUACUGCGAGACUAGAGUAAUGGAGGGGGAACCGGAAUUCUCGGUGUAGCAGUGAAAUGCGUAGAUAUCGAGAGGAACACUCGUGGCGAAGGCGGGUUCCUGGACCUUAACUGACGCUGAGGCACGAAGGCCAGGGGAGCGAAAGGGAUUAGAUACCCCAGUAGUC